rnacentral:rRNA from 1 species
UACGGGGGGAGCAAGCGUUGUUCGGAUUUAUUGGGUUUAAAGGGUGCGUAGGUGGUCUAUUAAGUCAGUGCUGAAAUAUCCCGGCUUAACCGGGAGGGUGGCAUUGAUACUGAUGGACUUGAGUGAAGUCGAGGUAGGCGGAAUUGACGGUGUAGCGGUGAAAUGCUUAGAUAUCGUCAAGAACACCGAUAGUGUAGACAGCUUACUAGGCUUUAACUGACACUGAGGCACGAAAGUGUGGGGAUCAAACAGG